rnacentral:piRNA from 1 species
UCAAAUACAAAAUGUGGAGAGCCCAGUGA